rnacentral:rRNA from 1 species
UAUCCGGAUUUAUUGGGUUUAAAGGGUGCGCAGGCGGAAGAUCAAGUCAGCGGUAAAAUUGAGAGGCUCAACCUCUUCGAGCCGUUGAAACUGGUUUUCUUGAGUGAGCGAGAAGUAUGCGGAAUGCGUGGUGUAGCGGUGAAAUGCAUAGAUAUCACGCAGAACUCCGAUUGCGAAGGCAGCAUACCGGCGCUCAACUGACGCUCAUGCACGAAAGUGUGGGUAUCGAACAGGAUUAGAUACCCUGGUAGUCCACACAGUAAACGAUGAAUACUAAUUGUUCGGGGAGAAUGAUCCCUGAGUGAUACAGCGAAAGCGUUAAGUAUUCCACCUGGGGAGUACGCCGGCAACGGUGAAACUCAAAGGAAUUGACGGGGGCCCGCACAAGCGGAGGAACAUGUGGUUUAAUUCGAUGAUACGCGAGGAACCUUACCCGGGCUCAAACGACACAGGAAUACUUUUGAAAGGAGGUAGCUCUACGGAGUCUGUGUCGAGGUGCUGCAUGGUUGUCGUCAGCUCGUGCCGUGAGGUGUCGGCUUAAGUGCCAUAACGAGCGCAACCCCCAUCGCCAGUUACCAGCAAGUCAAGUUGGGGACUCUGGCGAGACUGCCGGCGCAAGCUGUGAGGAAGGCGGGGAUGACGUCAAAUCAGCACGGCCCUUACGUCCGGGGCGACACACGUGUUACAAUGGCAGGUACAGAGAGAAGCAAUGCGGCGACGCAAAGCGGAACUUGAAAGCCUGUCUCAGUUCGGAUUGGAGUCUGCAACUCGACUCCAUGAAGCUGGAUUCGCUAGUAAUCGCGCAUCAGCCAUGGCGCGGUGAAUACGUUCCCGGGCCUUGUACACACCGCCCGUCAAGCCAUGGAAGCCGGGAGUGCCUGAAGUGAGCAACCGCAAGGAGCGCCCUAAGGUAAAACUGGUGACUGGGGCUAAGUCGUAACAAGGUAGCCGUAA